UGGGGAAUAUUGCACAAUGGGGAAAGCCCUGAUGCAGCGACGCCGCGUGAGCGAAGAAGUAUUUCGGUAUGUAAAGCUCUAUCAGCAGGGAAGAAAAUGACGGUACCUGACUAAGAAGCCCCGGCUAACUACGUGCCAGCAGCCGCGGUAAUACGUAGGGGGCAAGCGUUAUCCGGAUUUACUGGGUGUAAAGGGAGCGUAGACGGAUGUGCAAGUCUGAAGUGAAAGCCCGGGGCUCAACCCCGGGACUGCUUUGGAAACUGUGUAUCUAGAGUGCCGGAGAGGUAAGCGGAAUUCCCAGUGUAGCGGUGAAAUGCGUAGAUAUUGGGAGGAACACCAGUGGCGAAGGCGACUAUCUGGCACAUAACUGACACUGAGGAGCGAAAGCGUGGGUAGCAAACAGGAUUAGAUACCC
rnacentral:rRNA from 1 species